UACCAGCCGUCGCCACCAUGCCUCGGAUAGCCUCCUUCGCCAUCCGCCAUUGAUGGCCGAGGCAAGCUUCCUCUCCUCCUUCUUCUUCCUCCUUUUUCCUUUCUUCUUUCUUUUCUUUCUUUUUCUUAUCGCAACUUAGUCCCUACAUUCUUUAGUUACUAGCUAUUUCCCCUAGCAAAUUCUUGUUUAAUCCUCCACCUUUUCUUUAGUAUUUUAAUUAAGCCCCUAGCUACUUAUUUUGGGCCAAACUAAAAUUAUUAAAUAGAGAGUUACUUGUUUACCCUUGCUUUUAAUGGUAAUAUUACUAAAAUACCCCUGUCGACGUAUUUAAUUAUAAAAAUACCAACCAUAAAAAUUCUCACUUAAACCCCAUAUUAAUGCAACUAUACUUUUAACCUCUAUCUCAUAAUUAAUUGUCAAAUUAAUCCUAACACUUAAUUAACUUAAAUAAUCAAUUUGUUAACUAUUUUCUAAUUAAAUCUAGUACCAUUUGCUAAUUAAAAUUUUAUAUUUCCCCAAAUAAUUUCUUCAAGAUAAAUAUUUUUAUAGCCUCCAAUUAGGCAAAUUUAAUUAUACUUAUACAUACUAUGUAAAUACAAGGGUGAUACUUAUAAGAAGUAAAUCACAUUUUAUAUUAUUUGCUUAGCAAAUUCUUAUCUAAUUAAACUUAUUAAAUAUGGGUAAAUAAUUCCUUAAAUUUUUAUCUACAUUUAAAAUCCUUAUAAGUUAUUAUUAUUAUUAUUAUUAAUAAAAAUAAAAAUUUCGGGUAUUAUAUUUAAGAAUCAGCGGAUGAGUUGUGGUUACGGAUGAAAUGCCACUCAAACCUAGAGCUAGCUAGUUCUCCCCGAAAUGCAUUGAGGUGCAGCAGUUGACUGGACAUCUAAGGGUAAAGCACUAUUUUAGUGUUGGCCAUGAGAGCGAUACUAAAUUGAGGCAAACUCUGAAUACUAAUAUGGACCUCAAAAUAACAGGGGUCAAGGUCGGUCAGUGAGACGAUGAGAGAUAAGAUUCAUCGCCGAGAGGGAAACAGCUCGGAUCACCAGCUAAGGCCCUUAAUAAUCACUGUUUAGUGAUAAAGGAGGUAGGGGUGCAGAGACUGCCAGGAGGUUUGCUUAGAAGCAGCCACCCUUGAAAGAGUGCGUAAUAGCUCACUGAUCGAGCGCUCUUGCGCCAAAGAUGAAUGGGGCUAAGCGAUCUACUAAAGCUGUGGAAUGUAAAAAUGCAUCGGUAGGGGAGCGUUUCGCCUUAGAGGGAAGCACCCGCAUGAGCAGGGGUGGACAAAGUGGAAUCGAGAAUGUCGGCUUGAGUAACGCAAACAUUGGUGAGAAUCCAAUGCCCUGAAAACUUAAGUGUUCCUCCACAAGGUUUGUCCACGGAGGGUGGGUCAGGGCCUAAGAUCAGGCCGAAAGGCGUAGUCGAUGGAUAACAGGUGAAUAUUCCUGUACUACCCCUUGUUGGUCCCGAGGGACGAAGGAGGCUAGGUUAGUCGAAAGAUGGUUAUCGGUUCAAGGACGCACGACAUCCCUACUUUUUUAGGGUAAGAAGGGGUAGAGAAAAUACCUCGAGCUAAUGUUUGAGUACUAGGCGCUACAACGCUGAAGUAACCCAUGCCAUACUCCUAGGAAAAGCUCAAACAACCUUCAAUAAAAGGGUACCUGUACUCGAAACCGACACAGGUAGGUAGGUAAGAAGCGAGAGACAACUCUCUCUAAGGAACUUGGUAAAAUAGCCCCAUAACUUCGGGAGAAGGGGUGCCUCAUCACAAAGAGUGUCGCAGUGACUAGGCUCGGGCGACUGUUUACAAAAAACACAGGUCUCUACAAAGUCGUAAGACCAGCCCAGUGCUGGAAGGUCAAGGAAGUUGGUGACCUGAUAAUAGAGGAGCCGGCAACCGAAGCCCCAGUGAACAACGACCAUAACUAUAACGGUCCUAAGUAGAAAAAUUCCUUGUCGAGUAAGUUUUGAGCCGCACGAAAGGCGUAACAAUGUAGAUACUGUCUUGGAGAGAGGCUCGGUGAAAUAGACAUGUCUAUGAAGAUACGGACUACCUGUACCUAGACAAAAAGACCCUAUGAAGCUUCACUAUUCUCUGGGAUUGGCUUUGGGCCUUUCCUAUGCAGCUUAGGUGGAAGGCGAAGAAGGCCCCCUUCUAAAAGGUUUGAGCCAUCAUUGAGAUACCACUCUAGAAGAGCUAGAAUUCUAACUUUAUAUUAGGACCUACGGGCCAAGGGACAGUCUCAGGUAGACAGUUUUUAUGGGGCGUAGGCCUUCCAAAAGGUAACAGAGGCGUGCAAAGGUUUCCUUGGGUCGCAUAGAGAUUUGCCCUCGAGUGUAAAGGCAGAAGGGAGCUUGACUGCAAGACCCACCCGUCGAGCAAGGAUGAAAGUUGGCCUUAGUAAUCCAAUGGUACCGAGGGGAAAGGCCGUCGCUUAAUGAAUAAAAGUUUCUAGCGAUAACAGGCUGAUCUUCCCCAAGAGCUCAUAUCAACAGGAAGGUUUGGCACCUCGAUGUCGGCUCUUAGCCUCCUAAGGCUGUAGUAUGUUCUAAGGGUUGGGUUGUUCGCCCAUUAAAAUAGUACUUGAGUUGGGUUUAGAAUGUCGUUAGACAGUUCGCUCCAUAUCCGGCGUGGGCAUUAGAGCAUUAGGAGGACCUUUCCUUAGUAUAAGAGGACUAGGAAGGACACACCUCUGAUGUACUAGUUAUCAUGCCCAUAGUAAACGCUGGGUAGCCAAGCGCGGAGCGGAUAACUGCUGAAAGCAUCUAAGUAGUAAGCCCAUCCCAAGAUGAGUGUUGUCCUAUUACUUUCCUAGAACCUUCGGUAGCACAAUCGAGACAACUACGGGUUCUUUGCCCAUACGGGGGUAGAGUGAGAUAAGUUUUGAGAAUUCAAAAGAAGGUCACGGUGAGACGAGCUGUUUAUCAUUACUAUAGGUGUCAAGUGGAAGUGUAGUGAUGUAUGCAGCUAAGGCGUUCUAAUAGACCGGUAGACUUGAAC
rnacentral:rRNA from 1 species